rnacentral:lncRNA from 1 species
GGCUGUGUUGGUGUUGAGGCCUGCCCUGGGGUACCGUGCACUGCAGAGAGCUGGGCUCUACUGCGCCUAUACCAGCUCACCGAGUAAUUUCCUGAUAGCAAAGUGUGAUGAGGUUAAUGAAUCAGAGGUUUGGGAUGAUUUUUUUACCCACAGUUACUAGCCAGCUAUGGUUUUAAUCACCGUAUGUCUACACAGAGAGAGCCCUUCCUUCUGAGCAGAGGAAGUGAGUGGACCCGUCGGUUCUGCCUUCGGGGCUGAGCCAAAAUGUGCAAUUCUCGGUAGUUCCCCACAGCAGCGGCUUUCAAUAUGUUUCUUCAUCCCACGCUGAUCCCAUCUGCUCUGUGCAAGGGCUUUCCAGGUCUGAAGCACCCCUCCCCAUGCGGGUGCACGGCUCCCUUUUCUGGGGCCUGACAGAUAGCAGGCAGCCCUGAGCAGGGCGUGGCAUGGCUUUUGUGAUUGCACUUUCCAGAAUCUCCAUGUCUGGAUGCAUAUGGAAAACACAGCUUAAUCUUUGUAAAUAGAUUUUGCUAAAAUGAAAAUUUUUAUGUGUUAAUUCCAGAGUGGGCAUGGAGAGAAGUGAUUUUUGUCCCAGCUUGCUAAGAAAAUGUAACUUAGGAGGUCAUAAUUAGGUAUGUGCUCUAAUAUUUGAAUCCACUAUGCAGUUUCACUCAAGUCUUGCAGAAGGCAGCCUCAAGUUCUUGAUUCUGUUGCUGUCUGCUGUCAGGAACAGGCCCUUCCCCACCCACUUCUACCAGUCUGAAGGAGGCAGUACCUGGCUGUGGCUCGCUCUGGACUGCGUGUGUGCUGCCAGCUGGCACUCUCAGGAUGAUGGAGUGUACUAAAUAAAAAGAAAGGCAAAAUAAAUCCUGAUGUUGAAGAAGACA